UGCCCCAUAGUCUGGGAUACCACUUGGAAACAGGUGCUAAUACCGGAUAAGAAAGCGGAUCGCAUGAUCAGCUUUUAAAAGGCGGCGUAAGCUGUCGCUAUGGGAUGGCCCCGCGGUGCAUUAGCUAGUUGGUAAGGUAAAGGCUUACCAAGGCGAUGAUGCAUAGCCGAGUUGAGAGACUGAUCGGCCACAUUGGGACUGAGACACGGCCCAAACUCCUACGGGAGGCACAGUA
rnacentral:rRNA from 1 species